rnacentral:rRNA from 1 species
GGAGGAAAGCAGGGGAUCGCAAGACCUUACGCUUUUGGAGCGGCCGAUGUCUGAUUAGCUUGUUGGUGAGGUAAAGGCUUACCAAGGCUUCGAUCAGUAGCUGGUCUGAGAGGACGACCAGCCACACUGGGACUGAGACACGGCCCAGACUCCUACGGGAGGCAGCAGUGGGGAAUUUUGGACAAUGGGGGAAACCCUGAUCCAGCCAUGCCGCGUGAGUGAAGAAGGCCUUCGGGUUGUAAAGCUCUUUCAGCCGGAACGAAACGGUUACGAUUAAUACCUGUAACUACUGACGGUACCGGAAGAAGAAGCACCGGCUAACUACGUGCCAGCAGCCGCGGUAAUACGUAGGGUGCGAGCGUUAAUCGGAAUUACUGGGCGUAAAGCGUGCGCGGGUGGUUUUGUAAGUCAGAUGUGAAAUCCCCGGGCUUAACCUGGGAA